CACAGACUUAAGACAUGGAGAUGUUGGCUCAGACGUUACGUUACAAAACAUGCAUUGAGUUAUUUUCCUUUGGUUCACUUGUCAGCUGCUUUUUCCCACCAUUUCCUAAUGAUUAAGAGCCUGCAGACAAGAGGUGGCCAUUUUUCUGUAUUUAUCCCCCGGUAUUUGUUUCCUUGCAGCACUUUUCAUCACACUGCAGUUUCCAUCAAAACAGCAGCCAGAGUCUUCACCUUUCAUAAUUCUUAAUAGAUGGCAACCAGAAUGGAAAAUAAUUCAACUCUCACUGGUGAAUCAAUCUGACUGUGCCAUUAUUUUAAAAUAAUGUAAAUAUUUUCCAUUAGCGAAACAAGUAUUUUCCAUCUUGUUUUCAUCAGGUCUCGAGUUUUUAUGGAUAAGUCACGUUGCCCUAUUCUCAGCACGCUGCAUCCAAAUGUAACAUUGAUGGAAUAAUGGAGAAUUAGCCUGUCUAUAAAAAAAGCCCUGAAGUCAGUGGGGGUGCACCACAGUCAAAUGACACUGAAAGCAAUUACCGUAUGUUUCAACACCCUUUUCAGAGGAAGGGAUCUGGCUCGAGGGCCACUCAGCAAUUGUAUGAGAUUAAUUUGGUUCACAUUACCAUAUUCUGCCACAGUGGAGCGUCCUCAUUCACUCACUUACUACAUUUUAUUUUCAGGAUAGCCAUGGGUGAGGAUGAUGUGCAUUCAUUCAGGUAGUCAAUAUGUUUUUAUGCAUAGUUGUGUCUUAUUCGAGGAAUGGUCGUAGCUGACAAGACGGAAAUUUCAUUGGACUACUUGCCCUACUUGACUACUUGUCCUAGCUUACAAGCAAAGCAUCACUCGCCCAUUCCAAUGACGGACAGUAGAAAGUGCUUUGUGGUCCAGAUGAACUCCUUGGAGAAAAAUGGGCAAGAGUCUGUUUCCUGGCUACAUUGUCCAUGUGAAUAUCUAUCCUGUUUAUGCAACCUGGAUGAGCCACAGAAGAAUGGAUGGCAACUGCAUCAUGAUGACAUGCAUUGAAUGUGACAAGACCACCCAGUCAACGCAAUCGGAUACACCCAUUACCAUGGCGAUGACAACAACAAUGGGGAUCGUGCAAAUGUAUUGUGUGGCGGAAAAAAAAGAAGAAAAUUAGGAAAAACGUGGUGGUCGUCACCGGUGCUUGGGAGAGGACAUAUGGGGCUGU